rnacentral:miRNA from 1 species
AGUACCACUCUGCGUUCACAU